rnacentral:lncRNA from 1 species
UUAGGAUGCAUGCAUAUGCAUGCUUAGAUUAGACUGCUACUACUGAGUAUAGUAUUCACGACCUGGCAGUACAGUACCUGCUGCAUGGCAAAACUUUGACUUGAGUUUAUCCGUAACUGAUAUUCCGUCGCCACCUUCUGCCUGGCGCUUGUCUUCCGUUCUUGACCCUACCCACAACCUUCUAACAGAAAUGUUUUGGUCGAUCAAUUAACCCAUGUGCGCAUAUAGUCUGUCCUGCUAGUCACUGAUUAAUUAGCACAAGAGUCAACGUAAGAUCAGGGGGAUGAAGCUUCCAUAUUUUACCUUAUCCGUCUUGAUAGAGAGCUACAUGCUUUAAUCAGUAUGAAUUCCGCGGGAACCGGAAGCUUCUUUCCGGCCACGACAAAAGUUGGAAACAGCAAAGCAAUUUAUUCUCCAGAUUAUAUUUCUCUGCAUGAGUAUGAGUUAUUGUUUAUUUCGGUUGAUCACCUUCUUCAAGUCAUAUCAUUUUCUACGUUACCCUCCCCUCCAACCCCGUUACUACAUUACCCUCCC